rnacentral:rRNA from 1 species
UACAGAGACUGCAAGCGUUAUUCGGAUUCACUGGGCGUAAAGGGUGCGCAGGCGGCCAUAUGUGUGGGGCGUGAAAGCCCGGGGCUUAACCCCGGAAUUGCACCUCAAACUAUAUGGCUAGAGCAUUGGAGAGGGUAGCGGAAUUCACGGUGUAGCAGUGAAAUGCGUAGAUAUCGUGAGGAACACCAGAGGCGAAGGCAGCUACCUGGACAAUUGCUGACGCUCAGGCACGAAAGCGUGGGGAGCAAAAGGG